CACUGCAAAGGGCAGCUAGUAUUCCCAUCCUUGUUUAACAAGCUGUGAGGAGAAGUUGUUUCUGAGAUCUGAGCCUGAAGAGAGGGAACAAGUCAGUCAGCCUUCGUGGUCAGAAGAUAUUGCCUCCUUCCAAGCUACCAGGCCAGGAAGUCCAUUCAGCUGGAAGCCGGGACAGCAGCCUUGUUUUCAUUUAGUCUCCUUUCCUGCCACUUGUUCCACGAUGUAUGUCAAGAGUUAAAAGCUGUCUGAUCCGGCUGUAUUUGAGUUGGCAGAGCAGACCCUGAUUCAGUUAUCUGGUUCCUCCAUUGCAGCCUAAAGACCAUAGAACUCUAAAUCAGGCAGAAGGAAGGGAAGGUGGGAAAAGUACUGAAAAGCAAAAUCCCACAGGGAUCCAAAUGGUCCUCGAGAGAAUAAUCUUAUCCAGAAGCAAUGAACAAGUGGCACAUAAUUGAGCCCCAGGACUGGCCAACCAGAUGAAAAACAGGCCAGUGGAGCCUACAUGGUAACUUACUGCAUUUGGUGCUGUGAUCCAACUCAUCUCCCCAUCCCUGCAGAGAAACCUGUGACCAUGAGGAGCAGCCUGACCAUGGUGGGAACCCUCUGGGCCUUCCUGUCCCUUGUUACUGCCGUGACCAGUUCUACCAGUUACUUCCUACCUUACUGGCUCUUUGGAUCCCAGCUGGGGAAGCCAGUGUCAUUCAGUACAUUCCGGAGGUGCAACUACCCUGUGCGGGGAGAGGGACACAGUCUGAUCAUGGUGGAAGAAUGUGGGCGCUAUGCCAGCUUCAAUGCCAUCCCAAGCCUGGCCUGGCAGAUGUGCACGGUGGUGACAGGUGCCGGCUGUGCUCUGCUACUCCUGGUGGCACUAGCUGCUGUCCUGGGUUGCUGCAUGGAGGAGCUCAUCUCCAGAAUGAUGGGACGUUGCAUGGGAGCAGCGCAAUUUGUUGGAGGGCUGCUGAUAAGCUCAGGCUGUGCCUUAUACCCUUUAGGAUGGAAUAGCCCGGAGAUAAUGCAAACAUGUGGGAAUGUCUCCAAUCAAUUUCAGUUAGGUACGUGUCGGCUUGGCUGGGCCUAUUACUGUGCUGGAGGUGGAGCAGCUGCAGCCAUGUUGAUCUGCACCUGGCUCUCUUGCUUUGCUGGAAGAAACCCCAAGCCUGUCAUAUUGGUGGAGAGCAUCAUGAGGAAUACCAAUUCUUAUGCUAUGGAGCUUGACCAUUGCCUCAAACCUUGAGCUUUGAAAGAAGAUUGGAGAGGGUGGGAAAUGGGAGGAGAGAGCCCUGAAAAGAGCCAGUAGGUCACUGGCUGUUUAUAAAAUUCAUCUAGAGGAAACAUUCUCAGACAUUUACCCAACUGGCAAGUACCUGCUAACCCGAAGACCCAAAGUACUCCUUUAUGCAAAAUAGGAUCCAAAGCUAAGGCUGGGUAAGAAUAGCUGUGCAGGGAGGGAGCAUGAGAUGGGCAGGGCUGGUUCCUACCACUCCAUUCACACAGUUCAUUCCCAAGUAUUUAUUGCUACCCCCAAACAUCUCUGGAGUACUACUGCUCAAUUUUUGUGUCAUUAUCAGGAGUAUACCUUGACUCUUCCUUUUUUUCCCCUGCUUUUCUUUUUCCCCGCUUUUCUUUCUCCCCCUGGUUGUGGGGAAGCUUCGGGAGAGGGGGGAGGGUGACUCACAGUGGGGAAAACGUUAGUCAAGGAUACUUGCAUUUAGCCUGGAGCCCCUUCCUCAUUAUGCUUUAGAAUAUUCAUAGGCAUUCAUUUUGUGUUCUGACUGGGUGAUGAGCAAAAAAAUAUAUAGUAGCAAAUAUUCCCUAAUCCUUUAGAGAUACAGAAAUGGUGUUCAUCAAAUGUACUGAGAAUAGACUAGCAUUUGUGGGGCACUCAAUCAAUUUAAAUUCAUGGUGACAGUGACAAGGAUGUUUCUGUUAGAUACUUAUUGAAAUUUCUAUCAGAGAUCAUUUUUAUUGACUAGGAAAUCCACGGUGGCCUUUUACCCCCUAUAGUCACUCCUAAUGUGACAUAAGUUCAUCUGACUGUUUCAAAGACUGUUCGUCAAAUGAUCUCUCCUCCAUCUGGGGCGAGUUAGCCACAAAAGAACACAGCACUGAUGUCACCUAGGGCUGAUGUAUUUUUAGGCCUGGACUCCAUCCCAUCUGUGCUCAAGGUUGAUGGAUGGUGUAGAAGAACUUGGUGUCUCCUGGGGGCAGAGUUUGUCUCACUCCUCCCCCCUCCGACCCCAGUUAAUUCAGGCCAGCUCUAUUGUUCCAUAACUACAGCUUUAGGGAAUGGGGAGGGCCCGUGAUUCAAAAGGCCAGCUCAUCUGUUUCUAUUCUUAAUAAUUCCAGCAUGUUUUUGGUACAGCCCUACCUAGAGGGAUAGAAAUAGAAAAAAACUGGCUUCAUAAGUUACAUUCCAUCUCAUGAGAGGUCAGAAUUCUUCCAUUGGCUUUACAUAGGUAAGUGAAUUUAAAUGCUUCCCCCAUCUAUAGUUGAUUCAUUACUGAGUCACUCAUUCAGAAAACAUUUCUUGAGUAUCUUACUGUGUGACACAUUCUGUGCUAAGUUCUGGGGAUAAAAGGACAAAGACAGUUUCUCACCUUAAAAGGGAUAGUGGUGAGGUAUUGAGAGACAUGUCGACAAGUACUUGUCAGUGUAUUAAGUGCUAGAAAAGUGAAGAAGAAUAGCUAAAUGAUCACAGAGAAGUCAUUAAACCAACCUGGCAUGAAGGGGUUCAUGGGAAAGCAUCCUAGCAAAGAAGAUACCUAAGAUGGGUCCGAAAGAUGAAUAGCAGGAGCUUUGUCAGCAAAGGCAAAGAGUGCACAAGACAAGCAAUGAUGGCAGCCAAGUCGUGGAGACAGCAUUAGAAUGACAGAUGGGUGUAAAAAGAGGUGGCAAAAGCUGAAGUUGAAAAGGGAAGCAGUAGCCAGAUUCCAUGGGACCUUUUACUCCAUAAUAAGGCAUUUGAAUUUUAUCCUGAAGAAGGGUCAUUGAAAGGGAAGUGACAUGAACAAACUUGUAGCUUUCAAAGAUAAGUUUGGCUAAAGUGAGGAGAAUGAAAGAAAAGAAGAGGAGAACUAGAGAUAUUUCAAUAAUCUAAGUAUAAAACGAUCAAGGCCUGGAGGAAGGUAGUGACUGUGAGGCCGGAGAAGACAGAUGAAUUUGAAAGAAGAUAUUUAGGAAGUACAUUGUCUAAUGGAUAUGUGUAGGAAUUGGCAAGCGAAAAUUUUGGGAUGACCACUCUGGUAUGUGAGCGACUCCUAUCAUCAAGAUGGCAAAUGCAAGAUGAAUAACAGGUGGUAGGGAACCGGUGAUUGAAUUCAUUUCACGUAUUAUCUCCCUCAUGGAACUGCAUUAAGUGUUUAAGGUAAGGCCAACUUGAACAUACCUCACUGGGAAGGAAGCAAUGUAAUGUGUUUGCAGCACCUCCUUUCUUUAAGAAAGAUGACUAAGAACAGCUAAAACAAAAAUGCAACUAGCUUAAACCUCAAUUUUAUUGUGUCGACACAAUAAUGCAACUUUAAUUUAGGAAGGCCCACGGUAUAGAGAAUAUGUCAAAUAUUUGAGAAAAGGCAGAUAUCUCACUUCAGAAAAGAUAGUUGGAUCAGGCGAUCUCUCUUCUCGGGCUAGGCAACCUUCUGGAUUUCUGUAGGAUAGACUUUGUCAAAGUGACUGUAUAAGUCAGAAUCCUGCCAAGAGAAAGACGGUAUACUCAAGGAGUUUAGCGGAGAUGAGCUCAGUGAAAGGACAAUUUAUGAUGGUGUGUGCAGGGUUAAGGGAACUUACCACUGAUGGUGAGGCAUAGAAAGAGUAUGAACAGUGAGGGGCUAUUAUUAAUACUACUCCUAACACUGAAAAGACAAAGGGGAAAAACAGUGUUAUUGGCAUCCAGUAAGUACUGCACAUGUACAAGAGGGGCUGCCUCACAGGAGCUGUUGCUUCAGGUAGCACAAUGUAGUCUCUGCCCAAAUGCAGUAAGGAGGGAGAGAGGGGAAUGAACACCCAUAUCUCACUCUCUUUCCACUCUUUGAUCUCCUGCCAGUGCCCAUCAUUAGCCAGAUCCAGCCAUACAGCAGCUGGAAAAGAAGCCUGUUACUAUAGUCAGUUGAGGUCAGACUCCUUUGGCACAGAGCAUGGCAGGGAAGGGUGGAGAAUGAAGCUUGGGGGUAUGAGGGGCCAGUGGAAAAUAACAUUUCAGUGAGUGCUCUUAGCCACCAGGCAAUGCCAUUGCCUUAUGCACUGCUUCCCAGGAAGUGUAUGCUUUGCUUUCCUCCAUGGCCCAGACACCUAAACACACUGUGAAGUAAUUGGACCCUGGAAAGGAGACUGAAGAGGAAGGGGGUCAUUUGAAAUAACACUUUAAAUAACUAUCACCUUGCAGGAGUUAGUUGCAGGUUGAAUUAAGUUGGACUGUUUUCUCCUGUUUUCCAAUGAAAGGAAACUGGAUUUAAAAGAGAUUAUUUUUUUUCUGUGAAGAAACCAGGCCUGCAGGGGCUUAUAUUCAAAGACGGAUCUAGCCCCAUGUUCAAUUCAAAUUUAAAUUCCUCCUUGCCUAUGUCUGGUUUCUUUCCUGCCAGGCCUUGUUUUUACAUAGAUGUCUGACAAGACUAGGUUCUUUUCCCCAUGGCCUAGAGAAAACUUUUAGAAGCAAAAUCUGUGUCUUGGGCUGCUAUUGUACAGAAAGGAAGGAGAACCCAUGUGUCAGGUGGAGGCUGAAUGAGUGAGGUAAGAACCUAAAAGACUCUGCGGUUUGUCCCAUGCCUGGCUGGCUGUCAUGUUCCUUGCCUGGGCAUGCAGGCUGAGUGCCUAACUAUGGGCCCAUUCUGACCCUGGAACCACUUAGCUCUUGGGGAGGGGGAGAGAGGUAGGAAGUGAUUCUUCUGGACUAACUCACAGUCCAUUUAGUAUUUCAUAAGAGCCCAUUUUGCAAGAUACUCCUUUCAGAAAAUAAUGUCAGAUGGGCAGGCAGCAACUACCUAGUUGGCAUGCUUUUGUGUCUAGAGGAUUGAAAUUUCUACACCUGGGCUAGCAAGUGUUAAGUCACUGGGGUGUGUCUUCAGUGGUGCUGUCUCUCUAAUGUCACACCUCAUUACCUCUGCUCUCAGAGGAGAAGCUGCUUUCAUUCACUUACAGCUGCUAGUGACUUCCAGGCAGUGGGUUCUGCCUUGCAGGAGUGUGUGACCUGAGCCAAGAUGGAAAUGUUCUGGUCUCUGGGAAAGGAGUUCUGGCUUAUGUAAGAGUAGAUGGCAAUAUGAAGUCCUGGCUGGAUGAGAGACAACCCUGUGAGGAUGAGGGAAUGAGGAAGCUUCUGGGAAGCAGAGGCUUUAUACAUUUGUCACAUAAAUUGUGCCAAGGAAAGGUCUAGCUCCUUCAAUAUGUGAUGGGGACACUUUCUUCAGAGUCUGGCAUUCGCUUUCUGUAGAAAUACUCAUAUUAAUUUGAAGUAGUUUCAAGAUUGUAUUUGGUCCCAAGGAAGCCUGGUGAUGGGAAAAAUGGAACUUUCAAGAAAACUAAUACUCGAUAUAUUUUGUAAAGGAUGGAAGGCAUCCUACUUGGUGGCUUGAGGGGAAAGGUGUGCUAUUUCUAGAACUCACAAUCAAUCUCUGGCCAUACCCAGUAAAGCUUUCUUAGUAGACAGCAGGCAGGGCCCCUCCAAAGAGUCAUAGCUACCUUCUGUUCUUGGUUAAAGAGCAUUUUCUGGGCUGGAGUGGGGCUGGAGUUGAAAGAUACUUAUUACUGGCCUCUCUCUCAGAUGUAGAGAAAUGCAUUUUAAGCUUCAUUUUUUUUCAUCUGCUUCUGAGAUUUGGCUCUCCCAGGGUUGAUCUCUUCUCUAAACUCGUCAAACCCCCACUGAGUCCUCAAAGCUAACAGCAAAUAAACAGUUGCUAUGUGUGCACACAAAUAAUUUAGAUUUUCAUUAUACAGAGCUGCUGAUACAUUAGGAGGCAGAAGUAGGGGGAGACAAAAUGCUAGGUUUUGAAUAUGGCAACGCCGUAUUCUCCUUCCUUCCCCUUCAGAAAUGAGGCCCAGAAAAUAGUACUUGGGAGUCAGGGGGUGGUGGGGUUGGGGGGCAUCAGGGCCAGCCAGCAUCCACAUUGGCAAGACCCUGAUGUUGGCUCCCUUUCAUGUAGUAUCUCUGCUACAUGAAAGAGACAUUAGAAGAGGUAGUAGAAACUAUAGAUGAGAAUCAAAGCUGGUAGAAAGUUCAAGAGAGAAAAAGGGUAAAUAAAGCGGUAAAUAUCAGAACCAUUCCAGAGAAAGUGUCUCCUCCCACUGUAGCUUACUAGAAUUUCAUUUGGGGCAAUUUGACUUUCUUUCCAAGAUAUCUCAGUAUCUUCUGCACUAAAACAUUGUCCUCCUAGGCAACACGGUAAAGUGAAGUCGGUCCAGGCUUUGGAGUCAGACAAAUCAAGGUUUGAAUUGCAGCUCAAACGUUUAUUAGCUGUGUGUCCUUGGGCAAGGCAGUUAACUGAGCUUACUAACAUUCUAAGAUAACACUGGCUAUUGGCUCCACAAUUCUCAGCAACUAUAGAAGGAGUUAAUCAUUCGGUGGCCCCAUUCAUUUUAAUUUGCAUUGAUUAUUCUAACGCAGUGAUUUUUAAUCCUGGUCGACAUUAGAAUCUGCUGGGAAGCUUUUACAAAAUUUGAUGCUUUUGUUCGUCCCAGUUCAACUGAGUCAGAAUCUGUAGAUGCCACUAUACCAUACCACCCUCUCUUUAUUUUUGCCAUCAUCUACUGACCUCCUAGUCAUCCCUCAUUCAUAAGGACUUUAGCACCUGGCUCAGUCUCUUCUCUAUUUUUAAUUCUUUCGUCCUUUUAGAAAUUUCAACAUCAUGUGAACCAAUCUUCCAAUUUACUGGCCUCUAAACACUUUGACUUCUUUACCUCCAAUAAUAUAUUUUUUCUGCCCAACCUUUUUAGCUCCCACUCUUGACAUCAACAAUAAACACACAAUCACUAAAGUCCUGAUGUCAAAUCUCCCAUUCCUGACCAACACUUCUUAUUCUUUCAUCUCAUGUUUUUUAACAUCCCCACUCUACCAACUAUUUGACCCCAUCCUAGUUACACAACUAGAGUCCCUAGUUUAUCAUUGUAAUCACCCCUUGCAUAAAUGUUCCACUCUUUUCCCCUCUUUAAUUCUGCCAUAUAUUUAUUAAAAAAAAAAAAACCCUAACCCUGGUUAAAUGUAAUAAUUUCCCUGCUCAAUGCUUACACCAAGUUCUCACCUAUUUAGAGAGAAAAACUAGCUACCCUUGCACCUUUUCCUUGUCUAUACUCACCCCCUUGGUGAGUUCAUUCAAUCCCACGGCUUUACAUGUUAUCUAUACCCUUGCUACACAAAGGGUGGGCUAUGGUCCAAAAGCAUCAGUAUCACAUUGGGAAUGUAUUAGAAAUUUAAAAUCUUGGCUCCACUCCAGACCUACUGAAUCAGAAUCUGCAUUUUUAACAAGAUCCCUAAGUGAUUCAUUUGCAUUAAAGUUUGAGAGGCACUGGUCUAUACCAAUAGUUAUCAUCUUUGAUUGCAAACCAGAAUCAGCUAUGAUUUGCUAGUGCCAAUAUCUACUUUCAGAAGCUCUAAUUUAAUUGGUCUAGGGUAGGGUUUGGAUAUAUAUAAAUUUUGUAAGCCAUCAUGUGAUUUCAAUGUUCAGGCUAGAUUGACAACCACUGACUUAAGUACUGAUGACUCCCAAGUUAAUAUCUCUAGGCCAAACGUCUCUGAACUUCAGGCUCAAAUGUUCAACUACUUAUUCCAUGUCUCUACUUGGAUAUCUAGUAGACUUGACAGAGUGUACAUAUCCAUAACCAAGAUCCAAAUCUUCCAAUCCUAAACCCAUUCCUUGUAAUCAUCCCCAUCUUACUAACUAAAGAGCACUAUACUUACUGGGUUUUCCCUUCUACCUCCUUGGGUGGUCCUUCUCAUCCUUUUUUUUUGGAUCAUCUGCCUAUGUUCAACCUCCCAGUGUUGAAAUGAUCCAGGGUACAUAGCUCCUCUCGAUAUCUAGAAUCUCCCCAGGUGAUCUCAUUUACAUGCUGAUGAUGCUCUGAUUUAAACAUAGUCAUGUUGCUCACAUUUAACCUGUGCAACAGGAAAUUAUUAGUUUUCUCCUCCAACCCCACCAGCACUUCUGCCAAAACCUCGGAAUAAUCUCUGAUGUUUUUCCUUCCCUGGGCUGCUACCUCCAAUCCAUGUGCAAAUCUUAACAAGUCUACUUCCAAAAUAUAUUUGUUAUCUACACACUUCUCUUAUCUCUACUAUUACAACCCUAAGACAUUAAUGACAAAAAAGUUUCAGCAAACUGAGACUAAAAAGGAAUAUUCUACUAUGGUAACAGGUAUCUAAUAAGCCUCUAGCAAACAUUGUACUAAAAAAAACAUUUAAGAGCAUUCUAGUUUAAAACGGAAAAAAAGGACAAAGAUAUUUCAGCUCACAAUUGCAACCAAAAAUAUAGGGUACCUAAGACUAAAUCUUACAAAAGAUGGAGAAAAAUUAUAAAGCAACAUGGGAAAACACAAAAAGGAUUCAUAAAUAGGUUUCAUGAAUGGAAAGACUUGAGAUGUUUUUUAAAGCAUGUCAGGUUUUUUUCAAAAUGAAUCUAUAAAUUCAAUGCCAUUCCAAUAAAUAUUCUGUCUUUUUUUAGUGUAAGUUUACAUGCUCAUCUUCACAUUUGUGUUCAGAUAUAAAGACUUAAAGUUAUAAUCAUUAACAAGUGUGGUAGUGACACAGAGAUGAACAAAUGGAUAAAUGGAACAGAAUAGAGGAUCAAGAAACAGACUCAUGAUUAUAAGGAAACUAGAUAGAUAUGAUAGAAAUAGCAUUAUUAACCAAUGAGGGAAGGAUAGACAAAUCCAACAAACGAUAACAUUUGGGAAAUGAAAUUAUAUCCCUAAAACACUCCAUUUAUAAGAAUCUUAAUUCCAGAUGGAUUAAUGACCUAAAUGUGAAACAAUUCAAACUUUGAAAAGAUAACUUAGAAAAAUAUUGUUUUGACUUUAAUAUAGAAAGAAACUUCUAAAAAAGACACAAAAGGCACAGCCCAUAAAUCGAAAGAAUGAUGCACUUGACUACAUUAAAAUUUCAAAAUGUCUGUUUAAUGAAAAGGUCAGCUUGACUUUUCUGGUCCCCUUCUGUUGGGAGUGGGCCAUGUGACUAGUUCUAGCUAGUGGGUUGUGAGCAGCAGUGAUAUGUGCCACUUCCAGGCUGAAUUAUUAGUAUUUGCCAGUGUGAGCCCUUCCAGAGAUCUCCUUUCCCUCUCCCAUGGUGACACAAAAUACUCUUGUUGAAAACAGCCUGGAUCCUGGAGUGAGGAAACAGUCCCAGCCAACUAAUAGUGCACCUGUGAUCAAAAAAGAUACAUUUGCUACUUAAAAAAAGCCUCAUUAAUGAACAGUAUCAUAAGCAAAAUGAAAGGGUAAGCCUCAGACUGGGAGAAAAAUAUUUGUAAAGGUAUAGCUAAUGAAGGAUUAAUAUGAAAACAAUGUAAAGAGCCACAAAUCAAUAAGGAAAACCUAAAUAACUCAAUAAAAAUAAAACACAGGCAGAGGGUAUGAUUGAGUAAUGAACUUAGAAGGAAACUUGAUAGGAUGCUUAACUACCUAAACUCAGGGAAAUACAAAUUAAAGUAACAAGAAGAUACAAUUUGCAUCUGUAAGUUUGGUAAAAAUGUAAAAGUCCAUUUAUAGCAAGUUUUGGAAAGAAAUAAGAACUGUCAUCAUUGCUGGCUCAAAUAUAAAUUGGCAUAGACACUUUGGAGAAGAAUUUGUCAAUAUCUUGUAAAGAUGAAGAUGUAGGUGUAAAUGUAGUUUCUCCUUUAUGAAUUUGCUGUGGAGAAACUCUAGUACAACAGCAGACAAAGACAUAUACAAUGAUGACUGUCAAUGUCAUUGAUAUCUGGAAUAGAAAAUGUCAAAUAUUUACCAGUGGGAGAAUAGAAAAAAUAAAUUUGAUAUAUUUACUUAAUUAAAAUGAAUAACUUGGAGUCACAUGUAUGAAUGCAUCUCAAAAUCAUAAUGUUGACUGAGUAAAGCAAGUUGCAGAAUGGCUUCAGAGCAUACCUUUUCCAAAAGUUUGAAAACAUGUAAAACAAUACUACAUAUUUGUUAUGGAGUAUAUUUUUGUUCAUCAAGUAUUCAUGCCUCCUCACACUACAUCUUUUGCAUCUUUUGGAAGAGUAUAUUUUCCCAGUCUAUUGAUGCCUUGGCCAUGAGAUUCACUUUGUCCAGUAGAAUAUUUGGGUAGAACUGAUAAUGUAAGAAUUCUGAGCCAAGGCCUUAAGAAGCAUCAUAUUUUUGUUUUGUUUCUUUGGGAGUUUCUGACCUCCACAAUGAGAAGCACAUGUCACUUGAGACUAUCCCUUCAGUUUCAAACUCAGAAUGAAAAUACAUGAAUCAUUGCUGCCCCAGCUGACAUAGAGACCUGGGAACAAGAGAGCAAACGCUUGUUGUUGUAUGAUACUAGGUUUGAAAUACAUGAAAAACUGAACUAUGCAAUGUUCAUAUGCUGGAACAUAUGUAAUGUAUGUAUAUGUAAUACAAACAGGAAUAAUAAACAGUAAAUAAUAAAAUAAUAAACAGUAAAUUCAGGAGAGUGGUUAUUUUUGAGGAAGGAAACAAGGAAUCCUUAUCCUUGUUUAUUCUGUUUUAUUUUUCUUCAUAGCGCAUUUAUUUAUUGUUUCUCUCUCCUUCCCACUAAAAUGUAAAUUUUACAAAACCAAGCAACGAGCCUUAUUCGUUGACUGCUCUGGUGCAGGCAUCCUACUGGCACACAAUAGGCACUCAGUAAACAUUUGUUGAAAGAAUGAGACUGUUUACUCAUCUGUAGUAAGGACAACACUAAUGGUCAUGCAGGAUUAUACUGAGGGUUAAACAAGAUUAUACCUGGGAAUAUGCAUCAUAUUGAACCUGGCAUCUAAGCGCUCAAUUAUGUCCGUCUUUUUUCUUUUUCUUUUUCUAUUCUGGAUAUGUGGUUUCUCUGUUGAACUAUCUCAAUAAUGUACAGAGCACUUUGUAAUGUGUAAGGUGUAGACAAGAAACUGUUUCUUAACUGUGCAAUCUCUAACAAGUUAUUUAACCUCUGUGUUCCUGAUCUGUACACUGAGGAUAAUAAUACCCAUCUUAUAUGUUGGUUGAGAGUAUUAAAUAGUGUAAUGAUAUGAAGCACUUAACAUGGGGCCUGACAUAUAGUAAAUGCUCAAUAAACAUUAGUUAUUAUUACUGCUACAAAAUAGACAGUUGCCUAUGUGGUAUCAGUUCAGGAAUAUUUGGCAGGCUGCUUUACUAAAAUAAUAUCUUCCACACCAGCUUGUCAUUUCCAUAUCUACUUUUAUUACUAUGGAGUUAUUCUUUUGGUUUAUGCCUUGUUCAUUCCAGCUACUUCUUAUAAGCUUCACUGGGGAUAUGCUCCCAAUAGUUUCUUGUGCUUAAUAUUAUGUGAUAUCUUAUUUUCCUCUACCCCUGGACAGAUGGGCAACAUAAGGACCCCAGGCAAAGGUUUGGGAAGAGAAGUGAAGAAAUGCAUUCCAGAGGCAACCUUGGGAUAUUUGCCCCUUUUCCUUAAGGAUGGCUCUGUUCAGAAUUGCCUGUAGUCAUCACUCUGUGUCUCAGCAGGAGCUAACUCUCUAGCUUCUGCUCCUUAUGAUAUAGGUGAGAGAUUAGUAAUCUAUGAUAACUGCUUUCUCUUAGGGUUCCCAAGUGUUCCAUGUUCUGAGGACUAUCUCCUGCUGUACUAUCUUUUAUGAUGCAUCAUCUCUCCUAUUUGUUGGGGACCUGCCAACUGAAACCAUGCCCAAACUCACUAUAUAGAUGCUGUUGGCAAGACUUCUUCUUGGGCCAGGGGAUAUUAUCCUUAGCUCUCCUGAUUAUAAGGCUGUAUUAUUUAGCUCAUGCCGUAUUUGAUGGCUUUGUACUUAGGAAUCCUUGAAGUAUAUUUGAAAAUAAUUGUGAUCGACAUGCAAAUAUGUACAAAAAUUUCUGAAAAUGUCCAUAAUUUGUCGGCUUUUUAAAAAACAACCUUCUUAACAUAUACUUUAUACAUCAUAAAAUUUACCUGUUUUAAGCAUAUGAUCAAGUUAUUCUCAGUAUAUUCAUAGAGUUGUGCAACCAUCACCACAAUCCAGUUUUGAAACAUUUAUGAUUGGAUUCUGAAUGUAUUGCUUAUACCAAUAAUCAGUAAUCUUGUUGGGAAUCCUGGAAAAUGCCUAAAAUUUAACUACAUUGUUUUACGGAAUAUGUGGCCUCCAACAAAAUGAUACAAAUACAUUUACAUAGUAUCAAUACAAUUUUACCAUCAAUCUUUUCAUACAAUUAAAAAUGCAUUUAAUGACAUAUGGUGGGGGGAUGUAGGAAUCAUGUAAAAAACUGACCAAAUUGAAUAUUUCCAUGAAGGUUAGAAACUACAUUAGGAUCAGUAACUGCUAACUGCCACAAAAGAAAACCAAAGUUUCAUUAAUCUCAACACAGCAAAAAUUUAUUUCACCAAGUUUAAUGCAGAUUGGUGGGAAUUCUCUUCCAAGCAGUGACUUGGGGAUUAAGGCUCCCUUCUUUCUGUGGUACCGCCAUCUUCAUAUAUAGCAUCUAAGACCACAAAGGGCAAAGGGAAAGAUGGAUGAGGAACACCAGCUCUUAACCUCCUGGACCUAGAAGUGGUACACGUCCCCUUUGGUCAGAACUAGCUACAUGGCCCCAACCUAACGGCAAGUUUGAGGAAGGUAGGUUAAUGCAUCAAUCAUUCAGUGAGCAAUUUCUCAGCUAUGUUGCUGUAGGGGCAAAGAUGGAAAGCUUUCCCCUUCAUCCUAUGAAGGUCCACUGAAAAUGAACUGACAAUAGGCAAAUUAAUAUGUAAAAAAGGCAUACAGAUUUAGUUAAUGUGUGUAGCACAGGGGAAUCACAGAAUGAAUACCCCAUAACCCAAUGGGGUACAGAAGCAUAUAUACCCUUCUUCUUAGAGGAAGGGAAGAUGACGGUUGUUGGAGUAAAUGUUUUUUAGGGGGAAUGAAUGGACCCAGUGUUCAGACAAUGGUUAGUAAAUAAUUAUUUUUGGGAUUUGAAUGGGAUUUGAGAACAGACAAUAGUUUGGGACAAAGCUUGUCUGGGCUCUAUUAUAGGUGUGGUGUUUAAUUUUCAGUUUCUUUCUCUAUGACAGGAGUUUUAAUCUUCUCUGGUUAAUGAAAUUUCAGGGAACAGAUUGAAGGCAGUUGUGUUCUUUUUUGGUGGUCCAGUUUUAAAGUAGAUAAGGGGACAUCAGAGAACAGCCUCAUUCUGUGCUUUGGAAGAGAUAGAAGAUUGAGUGAAAGGGAAGCAGGGAAGGUCAGAGAAUCUUUGAGGCUGCUUUUUCAGUUUAGCAUGUCAAAGUGCCAUACUUUGGGGUAUUAUUUAUUGAGCCCCCAAAGUGGUCAAGCCUGUGAUGCUUUAUUCUUCUUUUGCUCCUUCCUCAAGCACUAAGAAUGGCUGCUAUAUCUCACAAUAUUAUCAUUUUAUAUUCUUCACUUCUAGAAAUUAGAUUCACUCUUGGUCAUUUAAAAUGUGCAGUUCUCAUGUAUGCCAGCACUUAAAGUGAAAUUUUUAAAAAAUGAAAUAAAAUGUGCAGUUUCAGCUAGACUGCAAUGUCAUCUUUCACCAACAAGUGACACAAGUCAACAUACUUGCCCUUCAGCCUGCAAAAUCCUCAUCUAAGAUUGUUUGUUCUGCACAAUAAAAUGCUUAUCAAUUCAGUGAGAUUAAUUCUUUAUAAAAUUAAUAUAUUUGUACCAACAGAUAUCAUAUGUUUAUGAAUCUUUAGAUUGUCAUCCAUCAGUUAGCUCACUAAGUAACCAAUGAUUUUGGUCAUUAUUUGAUGACCCUUAUUUAGUGUCUGUGGUAAGUGUAAUGAGGGGGUCUCUUUUUUUGUCCUCUAAUCUUCUUUUCCUAAAUCCUUGCCAUAUUCAAUAAUAUAUAACAAGAAUGUACUCAAGGUCAAGAACCUAGACGUGAAAACUGUCAAAAAGGUCAGAAGACAUGGGUUCCAAACCUGGCUCUGCCUCUAAUUAACUGUAUGAUGUUGGGCAAGCCUCAACCUCUCUGAGUCUCUGCUUCUUUGUCUGAAAAAAAUUAUAAAUUUAAUAUCUGCUAAUGAAAAUGAGUGGUUAGUGUAGCCUUCAGAAAACAACCUUGUAGCCUCUGUUGCUAGCUAACUCUCCUUUCCUGCAUUCCAGGGGUGUGUUAGUCCAUUCUCACACUGCUAUG